UACGUAGGUGGCGAGCGUUGUCCGGAUUUACUGGGCGUAAAGGGAGCGUAGGCGGACUUUUAAGUGAGAUGUGAAAUACCCGGGCUCAACUUGGGUGCUGCAUUUCAAACUGGAAGUCUAGAGUACAGGAGGGGAAAGUGGAAUUCCUAGUGUAGCGGUGAAAUGCGUAGAGAUUAGGAAGAACACCAGUGGCGAAGGCGACUUUCUGGACUGUAACUGACGCUGAGGCUCGAAAGCGUGGGGAGCAAACAGGAUUAGAUACCCGCGUAGUCCCUGAG
rnacentral:rRNA from 1 species